GACGAACGCUGGCGGCGUGCCUAAUACAUGCAAGCCGAACGGUCUUUUCUAUGGAAGCUUGCUUCCGCUGAGAAGAUAGUGGCGAACGGGUGAGUAACACGUGGGUAACCUGCCCAUAAGAGGGGGAUAACAUCCGGAAACGGGUGCUAAUACCGCAUAGUUUUCUUGAUCGCAUGAUUGAGAAAGGAAAGACGGCCUUUGUGCUGUCGCCUAUGGAUGGACCCGCGGCGUAUUAGUUAGUUGGUGAGGUAACGGCUCACCAAGACGAUGAUACGUAGCCGACCUGAGAGGGUGAUCGGCCACAUUGGGACUGAGACACGGCCCAAACUCCUACGGGAGGCAGCAGUAGGGAAUCUUCCGCAAUGGACGAAAGUCUGACGGAGCAACGCCGCGUGAGUGAAGAAGGUUUUCGGAUCGUAAAACUCUGUUGUCAGAGAAGAACAAGUCGGAGAGUAACUGCUCCGGCCUUGACGGUAUCUGACCAGAAAGCCACGGCUAACUACGUGCCAGCAGCCGCAGUAAAAC
rnacentral:rRNA from 1 species